rnacentral:rRNA from 1 species
AGUGAACGCUGGCGGUAGGCCUAACACAUGCAAGUCGAACGGCAGCACAGUAAGAGCUUGCUCUUACGGGUGGCGAGUGGCGGACGGGUGAGGAAUACAUCGGAAUCUACUUUUUCGUGGGGGAUAACGUAGGGAAACUUACGCUAAUACCGCAUACGACCUACGGGUGAAAGCAGGGGAUCUUCGGACCUUGCGCGAUUGAAUGAGCCGAUGUCGGAUUAGCUAGUUGGCGGGGUAAAGGCCCACCAAGGCGACGAUCCGUAGCUGGUCUGAGAGGAUGAUCAGCCCCACUGGAACUGAGCCACGGUCCAGACUCCUACGGGCGGCAGCGGUGGGGAAUAUUGGACAAUGGGCGCAAGCCUGCUCCAGCCAUACCGCGUGGGUGAAGAAGGCCUUCGGGUUGUAAAGCCCUUUUGUUGGGAAAGACAAGCAGCAGGUUAAUACCCCGCUGUUCUGACGGUACCCAAAGAAUAAGCACCGGCUAACUUCGUG